UACGGAGGGUGCAAGCGUUGUUCGGAAUUAUUGGGCGUAAAGCGCGUGUGGGCGGUUUUUUAAGCUGAUGUGAAAGCCCCGGGCUCAACCUGGGAAGUGCAUUGGAUACUGGAAGACUUGAGUACGGGAGAGGGUAGUGGAAUUCCUAGUGUAGGAGUGAAAUCCGUAGAUAUUAGGAGGAACACCGGUGGCGAAGGCGGCUGCCUGGACCGAUACUGACGCUGAGACGCGAAAGCGUGGGGGAGC
rnacentral:rRNA from 1 species